AUAGCUCAGCUGGGAGAGCGCCUGCUUUGCACGCAGGAGGUCUGCGGUUCGAUCCCGCAU
rnacentral:tRNA from 8 species